UACGGGGGGAGCAAGCGUUGUUCGGAUUUACGUGGCGUAAAGGGCGCGUAGGCGGCCACUGCAAGUCAGUUGUGAAAUCUCCGGGCUUAACCCGGAAAGGUCAGCUGAUACUGCAGGGCUAGAGUGCAGAAGGGGCAACUGGAAUUCUCGGUGUAGCGGUGAAAUGCGUAGAUAUCGAGAGGAACACCUGCGGCGAAGGCGGGUUGCUGGGCUGACACUGACGCUGACAGCGCGAAAGCUAGGGGAGCGAACAGG
rnacentral:rRNA from 1 species